AAGCCAAAUCCUAACACUCAGUGAAAUUUUUAUUCUCCUUUCAAUUCCCUCCAACAUAACCCUCUCACCUUCAAUACGCGCACAACCUCACCUUCGCCAACCCUUUCGCGCUCAACAACCCUCAACUUCGCCAUUCUCACCUUCAACAUUCAUCACCUACGACACUCAUCAUCACCCUUCUCCUUCUCACUGUCGCCGUUGACCCUCGCCACCCAGUCACCACUCACCGCCAGUCACCACUCACCACAUCGAUGCGCAAACCAGUUCACCACUCACCAGCUGACCAAUCACCACUCACCACUGACCGCCAGUCACCGCUCACCAUUCGCCAUCGACACUCAUUGUCACCACUGCACUGACCAUUGCUCUUCUUCUGUGUUCUGCACUAAUCGUCGCUGCGGCGCCCUCGGCAUCGUCAUCUCCGUGCUUCUCAUCUCGUCUUCUCUGUGCUCACAUCAUUGAAAAGAUAAAGGUUGAAGACUUCUUUAGGUACUUUUUCUCAGAUGAUGUUGUAAACUUUCAUGAGUCUUUCCAUAAAAGAUGUGGUGAUAAAGACUUAAAGUGUAGUUCGUGGCGUCCUCAAGAGAAAUUUGGGUAUGCUCGUGAACUAUCUUUUCAACAUCCAAUAAGACUUUAUCUUGAAGACUGUUUCUGAGUUUAUGGCACAGCUAAAUGAGAAAUCUUUCGAACUUGAGGUCAAAGUAGCAGAUAAUCAUAUAAUUCAAGAACAGCUUAAUCAGAAGAUCGGUGACUGAAAAUCCGCGAGAAAUGAUUGCUUCUCUGAAACAGCAACUUGAAGAUGCACUGGAGUUGAGAAAUUUUAGCCCUGUAGCAAAUCAUUCUCAACAUGGUGAACUUCAUCUUGACAAGGGAAAUGAGUUGAUAAAUGAUACAAAUGAAGGGCUGCUUUUACAAGCACAGGGUAACAAUGAAGAUUAAGCAAUGAAGAUUAAGCUUAUUAUUAUUGUGGUUUAUUAGCUAAGAUAGAGCUGUUUAGAAUCUUUACAUCUAUGGUUGAUUAAUAACUUUUAUUAGAAGAUACUUAUGUAUGUAGGAUAUGUUUUUUUGUAGAGUAUUAGUUGUAAAUUCUAAGUGAUAUUAUGGUUAUUUUAAUAUGGCUAUGCUUACUUUAGUAUGAGAUGUAUGAAUUUUUACAAUUAA